rnacentral:tRNA from 8 species
GCCGAAGUGGCGUAAUUGGUAAACGCGCUGCGUUCAGGACGCAGUGAGGGCAACCUCGUAAGGGUUCAACUCCCUUCUUCGGCACCA